AGUGCGGAAGUGAGAGGCGAGCUCCAGCUCCCCGGAGUCGGUGCCUUUUAAGCUGGCUAGCCGUGUUCUUCGCUGGUCCGCGGAAGUCUGGCUCGGCUGCUGGAGGGGAGCUGGGCCUGCGGAGGCCCGGGCGUGGGGUUGGGCGUCUGCCUACGGAGCUCCCGCGGAGCCCCUGCAGGGUUGCAGGUGACUGGCUUUCUGGACUCUCCUUCACCCAGGCCCCUUAAGUGGCCAUGGAAGGAGCCUUAGCCGCGCUCUUAAACGGUCAUAGUUGUAUGCAAUUAGUAAAAUGUAGAUAGUCUAGUAUUGCAACCGCAGAGUUUGGGAUCUGGGGACGUUGAAGUGGCUUACGGGCAUUUCGAAGAAGGAAAUACUCUGCAUCUGGGUUUAGGCGGAUGUAUUAACGCUGCUUGUAUGCAUGGGCAUCAUUACUAGUGUUUCCAGGGGAGAAGUGGCCCAGAGGGACAGCCUCGCAUCCACGCUGCACUGAAUUAUAAACCUGUUGUGAAUGUGCGGAGGUCCUUUGUACCUAGGGUGUGAGAAUUGGGAAAUAUAAAAGAUACUGCGCAAUAUAUAUAAAAAUCCUUGACGUCAUAGAUCAAAGAUUGAGAAGAAUUUCCCCCCACAUUAACAACUGUUCUGCAAUAAUAAUUCAAACUAGCAGUUCCAUAACUCCCCACGUCUUUACUUGUUUUGGUUGACAAAGGGAGACUGUGGUCCUAAAUUUAGGAAAUUCCAGAAAUAUCGUUUAAAAUUUUUUAAUUCAUUGACAACUUUAUACAUGUACGGGCCGGGUUUUAUGUUAACUUGGCACAAGCUAGAAUCAUUUUGGAAGAGAGAACCUCAGUUGAGAAAUGUCCCCACCGGAUUGGCAUAUGGUGCGUUUUCUCCAUUGUUGAUUGAUGUGGCAGGGUCCAGUUUAUGGGCUUCAUGGUUCUUGGUGCUGUAAGAAAGUAGACUGAGCAAGCCACCACCAGAACAAAUAAGUAGCAGCUCCUCCAUUGCCUCUGUUUCAUCCUCUCUUCAGGUUCCUACCUUUACUUUUCCUGAGAGUGGACUACAAACUGUAAGAUGAGAUAAAAACCCUUUCCUCUCCAAGAUGCCUUUGUCUUGAUGUUUAUCACAGCAGUAGAAAUACUAACAAUCACGGAUGUAAUGUAUUUCUGUAACCCACACCCUAUCCUCCACUUAUUUCCUUCCACUUUCAACGUUUUAAAAAAAUUACCCAAUGAGCUUAAUUAGGGUUACAGACAUAAGCAUGGUAUGGGUGAUAUACUGGGCCAUGGUUACCAAAGAUUAGACGACCACCAAUCUAAAUGAUCAUGGCCAACUUAAUUAAGGCAAGUAAUUAAGCAGGCUUUUUAAAAUUUGUGUACAUGGGUUGCGGCUCCCUAAGGCAGGGUUUAAGGGGUCAGCAUUGGAUGUGGGGAAGAGGUUUUUAUAGCCAGGGUAAGGGGCUUCAAAUGGGAACUUUGGCAGAAAACCAGGAGGGGUUACAGAUGCAGAUCAUAACUAGUAGUCAUAACAACCUUUUGAAACAAAGGUAGGGUUGCAAGAUACUUGUAGUGGUUUGAAUGAAAAUGUCUCCCAUAGGCCCAUGGGGAGUGGCACUCUUAGGAGGUGUAGCCUUGAUGGAGUAGGUGUGGCUUUAUUGGAGUGAGUGUGACUCUGUUGAAGUGGGUGUGGCUUUGUUGGAAGAAGUGUGUCACUGGGGGUGGUCUUUGAGGUCUCAAAUGCUCAAGCCAGGCCCAGUGCCUGCCUCUCCCCAAACCCCCCUUACUGCUGCUGUACAUAGAUCCAUAUGUAAAAUUCUCAGCUUCUUCUCUAGCACCAUGUCUACCUACACGCCACCAUUCUUCCCACCACAGUGACAAUAGACUAAAACUCUGAAGUGUAAGCCAGCCCUAGUUAAGUGUGUCCUUAUAAGAGUUGCCACAGCUCUGGUGUCUGUUCACAGCAAUGGAAACUAACUAAGACAGUGCUCAUAACUGUUUAAAAACAAAGACGUGGUUGCUGUUUCGUGGAAUAGGCAGUGUAGUUAAGGUUACAGAUGAGGCUUAGCC
rnacentral:lncRNA from 1 species